GGAAGUAAAAGUCGUGACAAGGUUUCCGUAGGUGAACCUGCGGAAGGAUCAUUAUCGAAAUACUUAUUUAGCGUUCCGUGCUAUCCCAUUGUUUUAUUUACCCUGUCGCUUCCACUGGAUGAGUUUCCAUACCUUGUGUUUGAGAAACUUUGGCUUGUGUAAGAUUCAUUCACGGCCAGCCAGUGAGAAGACCAUUUACAAAACCCUGUUAAGAACCAAUUGUCUGAAGAUUUUACUCCAAUGAAAUAAAACUUUCAACAACGGAUCUCUAGGCUCUU
rnacentral:misc_RNA from 1 species